UCUCACUCCGUCUCCCCCAGUCUCACUCUGUCUCCCCAGUCUCACUCUGUCUCACCCAGUCUCACUCUGUCUCACCCAGUCUCACUCUGUCUCCCCAGUCUCACUCUGUCUCCCCCAGUCUCACUCUGUCUCCCCCAGUCUCACACUGUCUCCCCCAGUCUCACUCUGUCUCCCCCAGUCUCACUCUGUCUCCCCCAGUCUCACUCUGUCUCCCCCAGUCUCACUCUGUCUCCCCAGUCUCACUCCGUCUCACCCAGUCUCACCCAGUCUCACUCUGUCUCACCCAGUCUCACUCUGUCUCCCCCAGUCUCACACUGUCUCCCCCAGUCUCACUCUGUCUCCCCCAGUCUCACUCUGUCUCCCCCAGUCUCACUCUGUCUCCCCCAGUCUCACUCUGUCUCCCCAGUCUCACUCCGUCUCCCCCAGUCUCACUCCGUCUCACCCAGUCUCACCCAGUCUCACUCCGUCUCCCCCAGUCUCACCCAGUCUCACUCUGUCUCCCCCAGUCUCACACUGUCUCCCCCAGUCUCACACUGUCUCCCCCAGUCUCACUCUGUCUCCCCCAGUCUCACUCUGUCUCCCCCAGUCUCACUCUGUCUCCCCCAGUCUCACUCUGUCUCCCCCAGUCUCACUCUGUCUCCCCCAGUCUCACUCCGUCUCCCCCAGUCUCACUCCGUCUCACCCAGUCUCACUCCGUCUCACCCAGUCUCCCCCAGUCUCACUCUGUCUCCCCCAGUCUCACUCUGUCUCACCCAGUCUCACUCCGUCUCACCCAGUCUCACUCUGUCUCCCCCAGUCUCACUCUGUCUCCCCCAGUCUCACUCUGUCUCCCCCAAUCUCACUUUGUCUCCCACAGUCUCACUCUGUCUCCCAAGCUAACGGGCUAACGGUUAACUAGCUACUUCCAGACACAAAUGAGACAAUAUCUCACUCUGACCAUUUUACUCACACUAGCAGAGCUAGUUAGGCUGUUUUCAUGUUAUCUAGAGUGUCGGUGACUGUAACUGUGCUGCUGGCAACAAUUGAAUUACGUAGUUUUUUUUGCCCGACGUUUACUGACACCGGACAUAUUCAACGGGUGUUGAGCGUUUGAAUCCGUUAUUCUGCGCUCUGACACACUCAGACGAGAGUACUUUGAAAUCAGAGUAGAUGUUGGUUUAACCCAAAGCUACCGGACGGUAACUAUGGCUACCUGAGGGUUACUAUGGCUACCUAAGGGUUACAAUGGGUACCUGAUAGUUACUAUGGCUACCUAAGGGUUACAAUGGGUACCUGAUAGUUACUAUGGCUACCUAAUGGUUACAAUGGCUACCUGAUAGUUACUAUGGCUACCUAAGGGUUACAAUGGCUACCUGAUAGUUACUAUGGCUACCUAAGGGUUACACUGGCUACCUGAUAGUUACUAUGGCUACCUAAGGGUUACAAUGGGUACCUGAUAGUUACUAUGGCUACGUAAGGGUUACAAUGGCUACCUGAUAGUUACUAUGGCUACCUAAGGGUAACAAUGGCUACCUGAUAGUUACUAUGGCUACCUAAGGGUUACUAUGGCUACCUGAUAGUUACUAGGGCUACCUAAGGGUAACAAUGGCUACCUGAUAGUUACUAUGGCUACCUAAGGGUUACUAUGGCUACCUGAUAGGUACUAUGGCUACGUAAGGGUUACUAUGGCUACCUGAUAGUUACUAUGGCUACCUAAGGGUCACACCACACUCAAACGUACAUGUGGCUCAAAGCACAGUGUUGCUAUUAUAUAAUAUUGUUUAAACGUGUGUAUUCUUUUAUUUUAUUGUUAUGUAUAAGACCUUUGCACUAAUAUUAACGUGUUCUUGUAUUUUUAGGCUUAUUUUAUAUUUUUUUGUGUUUGUUUGAAUGACAUUUCAUGUGUUCUCGGGGCUCUAUUCAAUCCGCAUUGCGGAAGUUCAGCUUUACAGUGUGAUUUAAACAGUUUGUUCUUAUCUGACUAGUUUAAAUAAAGGUUACAUUAAAAAAAAAUAUAUAUAUAUAUAUAAAUGUAAAGGCAAUGUUCCCGCUUAAGCGAAGACUUACCUCACGGUAAACGAUGCAUGUGUCGUUUACAUUUCCAUCACGGAAUCUGUGACGCUUCUUCAGCUUCCCAGAUUGAAUAGAGCCCCCUUUUGUAGGUCUUUUACCUUGUCAAUGCAACAGUCUGCAUGGACCACAAAGCACCACGUCAGGCGGACAUUUCAUAGUAGGAGGAACGUUCUAGCAUUUAUCUACAUGUUGUUCCGCGCCAGUAAAGACGUGAUGUACAUGAUCCUGCUCUAUCUUUGGUACUUUACAUUCUAACUCAAUGGAGACAGCCGGUACGGCAGUGUACAGGUAGACAGCUGGUACGGUAGUGUACAGGUAGACAGCUGGUACGGCAGUGUACAGGUAGACAGCCAGUACAGUAGUGUACAGGUAGACAGCCGGUACGGUAGUGUACAGGUAGACAGCUGGUAUGAUAGUGUACAGGUAGACAGCUGGUACAGUAGUGUACAGGUAGACAGCUUGUACGGUAGUGUACAGGUAGACAGCUAGUACAGUAGUUUACAGGUAGUGCACAGGUAGACAGCUGGUAGACAGCUGGUACGGUAGUGUACAGGUAGACAGCUGGUACGGUAGUGUACAGGUAGACAGCUGGUAGACAGCUGGUACGGUAGUAUACAGGUAGACAGCUGGUACGGUAGUGUACAGGUAGACAGCUGGUACGGUAGUGUACAGGUAGACAGCUGGUAGACAGCUGUUACGGUGGUGUACAGGUAGACAGCUGGUAGACAGCUGGUACGGUAGUGUACAGGUAGACAGCUGGUACGGUAGUGUACAGGUAGACAGCUGGUAGACAGCUGGUACGGUGGUGUACAGGUAGACAGCAGGUACGGUGGUGUACAGGUAGACAGCUGGUACGGUAGUGUACAGGUAGACAGCCAGUACAGUAGUGUACAGGUAGACAGCUGGUACAGUGGUGUACAGGUAGACAGCUGGUACGGUAGUGUACAGGUAGACAGCCAGUACAGUAGUGUACAGGUAGACAGCUGGUACAGUGGUGUAUUAGAAUGAAGUCACGUGAAUCAUGUAUUGAUGAGGCUUUUCCUCUCCAUAUAUUCUUUAUAUGUUGUUCAGUACACCAUAACGCACAUACAUUAGGCUCAAUUAUGCUUUUGCCCCACAACAAUGUUAUAAAUGAGUUCAACUUAUUUUUCACAAUGUGAAUUUGUAAAUACUUCAUUUUUUUAUUAUUAUUUUUUUUUUUUUUUUACAACUAACCAAAAUUGUAAUUGUAAAAUAUUAAGACAAAAUAAAAUUCUAAUUUUGUAAGUACAGUAUGUAGCAAUUAUAUAGCGAUAUUCCCCCAAUGCACCGAUAUGGAACAUCCUCUAUCCUGACUUACAGAGUCUUAACAUAUCAUGCAGUCAGUAGAGGCAGUAUUCUGUGAUCUGAUUGGUUUAUAAAUGAUGCUCAUUGGUUUCCAUGUAGUUGACGGGGAGAUGAAGAAUAUGUUACGGUGACAGUCACAUGUUAUUGUCACUUCUAUGGUUUAAAAAAAAAUAAUAAUAAUUUUUUAUACUUAUUUUGUAUGAAAUAAAAUGUGUACAGUGUAUUCCUUA